rnacentral:lncRNA from 1 species
AAGACAACCAUUUAUUAAGUGCAAACCAUGCUGCAAUUUUUUAAAAUUUAAAGAAACAAAGGACAGGAGUUCCCGUUGUGGCUCAGUGGAGACGAACCUGACUGGUAUCCAUGAGGAUGUGGGCUCGAUCCCUGGCCUUGCUCAGUGGGUUAAGGAUCCCGUGGUGUGACUGUGGCCUAGGCUGGUAGCUGCAGCUCCAAUGUGACCCCUCGCCUGGGCACUUCCAUAGUCUGGCCAUAAAAAGCAAAAUAAAACAAAAUAAAAAUUAAAAAAAUAAAAUGGGACCAAAAAAUUGAGUGAAGAACCUUUGAACACACCAACAAACACAUGGAAAAGGAAAAUAGAAAACAGCAAUGUCAAAUAAAAAAUAACUUAUUUAAAAUAACGGGAACAAAGAAAAGUCUAUCUGUCAGUACACUAAAUGUGAAUGGAUUUGUUUUCUUAUUUAAAAAAAAAAAGACCCUUCCAUGAAGCAUAAAAAGUAAACCUGCUUAUGCUCUCUACACAAUUUAACUUCAGGAGACGAAUAAAGGCUGAAAAUGAAGAUUCCAGGUAAAGAGUCAUAAAAAUAGGACUGGAAGGAUAGCAUCAGACCCACUGAAAACAAGGGUAAAAGAAGUAAAAUCAAGAGGAAGAUGAACAUUAGGAGCCGAUUCAAGCCCGAUUUACGAAAGAUAAAAGUUUUCAAUCAACCUGCGCUUUGAGCAUCUCAUACAAGAUUUUAUAAGGAUUUGAGAUUUAGGGAAAACCAACAUUAGCAGUUACACCUUCGAGACCUGGACAGAUCCAACAGAGAAGGUGGGGAUGAGACAAAAGCUCAGGGGUCGGCGUGAGACUCCAGGGGACGGGAGCAGCUCCGGAGCCUGACCCCGUGGUGGUGACUCCGGCUGGAGUUGACAGACGCAGCACGAAGGUACCUGUGAAACCCGGCAAAAUCCAAACACUGCCUGCAGUUUAUACCGUCGUCAGCCCCCUCGCUGGACUGCCCUCCGGCUCCGUGAGACGUUUUCACCGAAGGAAGCUGUGUGAAGUCCACACGGGAGCUCUCUGGACUGUUUUUGCAACCUAUUUAGAAUAAAUAAUUUUAUUCUAAAAUUAUUUGGAGUAAAAAGGUCUUUUUAAAAUAUAGCACAAAAACCUUACCUAAUAAAUAUAAGCAUAUAAUCUCUUGAGCCAAGCGUAUUCAUCCUUGUAUGUUCAUGGGACAUUUAAAUCUUAGCAAACUUUGAAAAGCAGAGAUUUAAAGGCUCCAUUGACUAACCAUGGUCAGUGGCCAACAAACGCUCAAUUCUUGUUCAUUAAGAGAUACAUUCCUAUGAAAGAGCGGAUCAAGGAAAAGUGCAAAUCGCCUUGGAAGCAAUGAAGAAGGAAGUACUUUCUAAUAAAACCCAUGGGGAGCUCCCCCUGUGGCGCAGGAUGUUAAGAAUCUGACUGCAAAAAGAAUCUCUUUCUCUCUCUCUCUCUCCACACACACACACACAUAUAUAAAACUGGGUCACUUUGCUAUACAACAGAAACUGACAGAACAUUGUAAAUCAACCAUAAUAAAAAUAAAUACUCAAAAAUAAUAUUGAAAAAACAAGGCUAACAAAAAAAAAAAAACCCGACUGUUGUGGCCUGGGUCGCAGUGGAGGUGUGGGUUCACUCCCUGGCCCCGCACAGUGGGUUAAAGGAGCCGGCAUUGUUGCAGCUGCGGCGAAGGUCAGGUGGCUGUGGCUGUGGCUCAGAUGCAGUUCCCGGCCGGGCAUUUCCAGGUGCUGCGGGUGCAGCCGUAAAAAAGAACAAGAACAAGAACAACGAAACCUCGUGGGACAGAGUGAAAGCCGUGUUCAGAAAAAUAAAUAAAUAAAUAAAAGGGUAACUAAUCCCUCCUCUUGGAACAUGAGCAAAGGCAGCGGGAAGAACCACGGCGGAUCUGGGCGUCAGCCCACGCCAAAGCCAACACGGCCAAGCCCAAGUUUCACUGCUGCUGGCAGAUGGCGUAGGACCCAGGGCCAGAGACCGAGGCCCAUGUGACUCAGCCGAGCAGAGAGCACGGCCCCUGGUUCCCACCAGGACCCCCUGUUCCCAAGUCCAAGGCAGUGCCGGCUGGGCUGGGGCGGGGGGCACGCACGGGUCAUGGCUGAGGAAGAGGAGCCCCAGUUUACAAGCCCCGAUCUUUAAAGGCACUCUCAGUGAGCCCACCCACACUUUGCCUCGCUUUUCUUUUUGUUUUUGUCGCUUCAUAGGGCCGUCCCUGCGGCAUAUGGAGGCCAGAUUGGAGCUACAGCUGCUGGCCUACACCACAGCUGCAGCUGGGAACGUGGGUUCCAGCUGUGUCUACAACCUACACCACAGCUCAAGGCAAUGCGGGAUCCCUGACCCACUGAGUGAGGCCAGGGAUUGAAUCCGCAUCCUUGUGGAUACUGGUCAGGUUUGUUUCCCCUGUGCCAUGAUGGGAACUCCAACUUUGCUGUUAUUUUCAACCUGCUGGUCAGCAAUCAACUUCGUCCUUUGCCUCGGAGGGGACCACGUCUCCAUCUUUGAAAGGCUGUUUGGUCCCGAACACUCCUGAAAAGGUAGAACAGAAGCUGUCACUACUUCCGCUCAGAUAUUCAGAAAUGUGAGAGCCUCGCAGACUAACAGCUCCCAACAAGGACACAAAUGAGAAACUUGGGAGGGAAAUAAACUGAAAUGCAUGAAAUAUAUUUUUCAAAAUCCAUGAAUUCAUCAUGAUAACUUAAAAAAAAAAUCACUGGUUUCCUUUGAAGGAAGCUGGGUCAUGACAUUGAAAACUGGUAAACGCAGAAAAUUAGCACUUACCGCCUGUCCAACACAACGGUUCACACAGCUGACAUGAACAGGGCUCCAGGGAUAAGUACCAGGGACUGUCAAGCUUGUCCCCCCACCCGACCCCACCCGAAGUCUGGAACCUGGGAGGGGGUUACGGACGGCUGCUGGGACCAGUGAGGAUGACGGUGGACCCGUCAUGGGUGUGUUGGGACGAGUCUGGUGCCGAGGCAAGAGACACCCUGAGAUUUCGCGUUUGCUCUGAUGUCGAGUGACAGGAAGCACGGCCUCUGGUGGGUGUUUCCGAGCCACGAUCCUGCUUGUGGGUUGACCUUUCUCCCCUCAAAGGUAGGUUCAAGUCUUAACUCCCAGGGCCUCUGGACGUGGUUUACGAAUGGGUUUGCUGGAUAAUUCGAUGUGAACCAACAAUGGCCUGCUGCCUGGCUCCAGCCCAGCUCCUGCCAGGGCGAAGGGCAGACAGGGCGGAGAAGCUGGCCUACCGCCUCUGUGCACAGAUGUGUGGGCAGUGCUGGGUGGCUGGGCUCCUCAGUGGGGGUCUGGAAGGGGCGAGAUGGGAUGAGGGGUUGCCAGGGAGUAGGGAAGGGCCUGUGAUCCCCUCUCAAUCU